UACGUAGGGACCGAGCGUUGUCCGGAAUCAUUGGGCGUAAAGAGCGUGUAGGCGGCCACUUAAGUCCUGCGUGAAAUCUUGCGGCUCAACCGCAAGCGGUCGUGGGAAACUGGGUGGCUAGAGUGCGGGAGAGGAGAGUGGAAUUCCUGGUGUAGCGGUGAAAUGCGCAGAUAUCAGGAGGAACACCGAUGGCGAAGGCAGCUCGCUGGGACGGUACUGACGCUGAGGCGCGAAAGCGUGGGGAGCAAACAGG
rnacentral:rRNA from 1 species